GCCGCGACCUUAAACUUAGGCAGGGCUGCCAGCCCCGGGUCUCGGACGCCGGGCCCCAGGAAGCGUCCCUUUUCCAUGGUGACGGUGGUCGCGGGGUCAUGGCGACGACGCGCCGCCGCUGGCGCUGGGUAAACACACGGUCCCUCAAUCGCUACUGGGUGCCCUGCGAGGCGCCUAAGUUGCAGGGAAAUGCGAGCACCGCCAUUUAAGUCGCGAAGUGUCCAGGUGGCAGGUCAACCGUGGGACCAUCAGACAAUGGAUUCUUCAGCUGAAAAGAAAUGAGCUAUCAAGGCAUGGACAGACGAAGAGGAACACGAAAUGCCUGUGACUGAGGGACAGAAGCCAAUCUGAAAAGGCUCCGCACCGUGUGACUCCAACCCUACGAUGUUCUAGAAAAGACAGAAUUACCGAGACAGUAAUAAAUCGGGGGUUGCCAUGGGGGUGAAUGGAGGGAUGAAUGGGUGGAACUACUCUGUGUGAUACCAUCAUGACGGACACACGUCAUCAUACAUCUGCCCAAACCCAGAGAAUGGACACAGAGUGAACCCCGAUGCCCACUGUGGACUCUGGGUGACCACGGGUCCAUUGUGACAGAUGUGGGGAUGCUGCUAAUGGGAAGCAGCCCUCCAGCCCUCGACCUUCUGGCCUCAGGACCCACAUGCUUCCUCCUGUCCCGACUGCCUGCCUCCACUCUGUCCUCUGCAAUCGGCUCUGCUGCCCAGUGUGUUCUGCAUCCUCCGGGGCUGUCCUGCUCCUGCUGAGGCCGGGGGGCUCCACUCACCAGUCCCUGCAUUCAAGCUGCUCACUGGGCUCUCAGAAGCACACACCACCUGCCAAGCACCUGCCGAGCCCGGCCUGGGGCUCAGUGUGCCCUCCUCCCUGCCUCUUCCUCACAGCCCCUCCCGAAACAGCACCCCUUGUGUGCCACCCGCAGAACCCCCCCCUCCCCCCCGCUGGCUCACAUCUGCAGGGUCACUAGCUAGGAGUGGUCCAGGCAUUUCAAAUGGGACCUCCCCAAUUCCACACUCGUCUCCUCACCCCCAACCACCUCCCUCUCUCCUCCCAGCAGCCACGAGGAUGUGACUUUCAUUCAAAAGUCACAUUUCCAAGCUAAAGAAAAAUCACGCGAUCAUAUCAAUAGGUGCAGAAAAAGCAUUUGACAUAAUUCAACAAAAUGCAAAGUUCAAGGUAAAAACACCCAGCAAACUACAAUAGGAAGGGGGGGGGCACUUUAGACCUGAUAAAGGACAUCUGCAGAAACCCUGCCGCGAAUGCCACGUUUACCAGGAGAAAUGAGAUGCUUCCUUUGGCCAUCAUGGCUCCUCCCUCCACCCCUUUCCCAGGUCAGGCUGGGAGUCGUGGCUAAUGCACUGUGACCAGUAGAAAGAAUAAAAGGUAUAUAGUGAUUGUCUAUGCAGAACAUCUUAUUUCCCAGCUCAGAACCCUACAUCAAAUUUCAUUGUGUCCAGCAGACAAUAGGAUAGUGAAGGCU